rnacentral:rRNA from 1 species
GAUGAACGCUAGCUACAGGCUUAACACAUGCAAGUCGAGCGACCGGCGCACGGGUGCGUAACACGUAUCCAACCUGCCCUUUCCUCGGGGAUAGCCUUUCGAAAUAAAGAUUAAUACCCGAUAUACAGGAUGGGUAUGCAUUCCAUUAGCGUGUUGGUGAGGUAACGGCACACCAAGCCUUCGAUGGAGAGGGGUUCUGAGAGGAAGGGCCCCCACAACUGAACUAAGACACAGUCCAAACGCCUACGGGAGGCAGCAGUGAGUAAUAUUGGGGAAUGGGCGCUAGCCUGAACCAGCCAUGUGGCGUGAAGAAUGAAGGCUUAUGGGACGUAAACUUCUUUUGUAUAAGAAGAGGUAUGAUAUGAAUAAGGAUCGGCUAACUCCGUGCCAGCAGCCGCGGUAAUAC